GUCUGUGGUGCGAGAAGAGACGGAUGAGUUUGUACGUUUCAGCGCUACAUACGCUCAACAACACUGCCUUCCGUUGGUCUUUGUCCGUCACCUUGUUCGCCGUAAAAUAAAAAUCUAGUCGUUCGACGUAGAGUUCCCAUUCAUCUUGAGUUCCAUCAAACGGCCCCACUUUCCCGAACAUCGAUGUCACGUUUUGUUCUUUGCCUCGUCGCCAAUAUGUUGUAUCUAAACUCGUGUGUUAGCACUCUAACUCAACAACACAAUAAAACUCGCCAAACAAGCUUAGUCUCUCGUACUGCGCCGGCGCCCCAAGACGCCUCCCCCAAAACAACCCCAAACUACUACACAGAACUAGCCAAAAGGCUGAGAUCAGGAGAAGGCAAAGACGAAGUGGAUGCCAACGUGGAAGAAAGGUCAAAUGGUGACAACACUGCAAGUGACAAAAAGACGAUGUGCGACGACAGAAACCUGUGCUGCCAAAUUUAGUGUUUCUUCUAACUCUGGCGGUUUUCGUUGCAGUAAUCAUAAAAGCUACAAACCAGCAGAUCGCUAUAUUUCGUGAAAAAGCAGCAGUACCGUUAACUCCGGACUCAGACGAUGACCAAGUUACAUCUGUUGGACUUAGAAAGAUUGCUGACAAGGUAGGAUCUUAUUGGUAUCCAAUUGGCAUCCAUCUGGGCUUCAAGCAAACAAAGAAGGCACUUUUGGAAGCUUGCAGACAAGUUGAUGUUAGACAGGCAUGUGAAAGGGUUUUUAUAAGAUGAGAAACUGCCAUCUCUUUUCAUAAUUGUUGCAGCUCUUUUAGCUUAUGGGAGCACAAACAAUGGGCUGUGACCCUUAUCACAAUUCCUUGUCUCUUAGCUAACGUUGUUUUGGAAUUUUCGUAAACGACUGUAUAUCAAUCACUGUAAGCUG